rnacentral:rRNA from 1 species
CAGCCGCCACGGUAAUACGAAGGGGGCUAGCGUUACUCGGAAUUACUGGGCGUAAAGGGCGCGUAGGCGGCGCUCCAAGUUAGGCGUGAAAGUCCUGGGCUCAACCUGGGAACUGCGCUUAAGACUGGAGUGCUUGAGGAUGGAAGAGGGUUGUGGAAUUCCCAGUGUAGAGGUGAAAUUCGUAGAUAUUGGGAAGAACACCGGUGGCGAAGGCGGCAACCUGGUCCAUUACUGACGCUGAGGCGCGACAGCGUGGGGAGCAAACAGGAUUAGAUACCCCCGUAGUCCCUGUCUCUUAUAC